rnacentral:rRNA from 1 species
AUUGAACGCUGGCGGCAGGCUUAACACAUGCAAGUCGAGCGGGGUGAUGGUGCUUGCACUAUCACUUAGCGGCGGACGGGUGAGUAAUGCUUAGGAAUCUGCCUAUUAGUGGGGGACAACAUCUCGAAAGGGAUGCUAAUACCGCAUACGUCCUACGGGAGAAAGCAGGGGAUCACUUGUGACCUUGCGCUAAUAGAUGAGCCUAAGUCGGAUUAGCUAGUUGGUGGGGUAAAGGCCUACCAAGGCGACGAUCUGUAGCGGGUCUGAGAGGAUGAUCCGCCACACUGGGACUGAGACACGGCCCAGACUCCUACGGGAGGCAGCAGUGGGGAAUAUUGGACAAUGGGGGAAACCCUGAUCCAGCCAUGCCGCGUGUGUGAAGAAGGCCUUAUGGUUGUAAAGCACUUUAAGCGAGGAGGAGGCUCUUUUGGUUAAUACCCAAGAUGAGUGGACGUUACUCGCAGAAUAAGCACCGGCUAACUCUGUGCCAGCCGCCGCCGUAA